rnacentral:rRNA from 1 species
UGCAAGUCGAACGAGCUUCCGUUGAAUGACGUGCUUGCACUGAUUUCAACAAUGAAGCGAGUGGCGAACUGGUGAGUAACACGUGGGAAAUCUGCCCAGAAGCAGGGGAUAACACUUGGAAACAGGUGCUAAUACCGUAUAACAACAAAAUCCGCAUGGAUUUUGUUUGAAAGGUGGCUUCGGCUAUCACUUCUGGAUGAUCCCGCGGCGUAUUAGUUAGUUGGUGAGGUAAAGGCCCACCAAGACGAUGAUACGUAGCCGACCUGAGAGGGUAAUCGGCCACAUUGGGACUGAGACACGGCCCAAACUCCUACGGGAGGCAGCAGUAGGGAAUCUUCCACAAUGGACGAAAGUCUGAUGGAGCAAUGCCGCGUGAGUGAAGAAGGGUUUCGGCUCGUAAAACUCUGUUGUUAAAGAAGAACACCUUUGAGAGUAACUGUUCAAGGGUUGACGGUAUUUAACCAGAAAGCCACGGCUAACUACGUGCCAGCAGCCGCGGUAAUACGUAGGUGGCAAGCGUUGUCCGGAUUUAUUGGGCGUAAAGCGAGCGCAGGCGGUUUUUUAAGUCUGAUGUGAAAGCCUUCGGCUUAACCGGAGAAGUGCAUCGGAAACUGGGAGACUUGAGUGCAGAAGAGGACAGUGGAACUCCAUGUGUAGCGGUGGAAUGCGUAGAUAUAUGGAAGAACACCAGUGGCGAAGGCGGCUGUCUAGUCUGUAACUGACGCUGAGGC